ACAAAACUUUGAGUAUAUAUAUUUGCCUAGUGCAAUGGCCACACCAUUGCCAUUUGCAAAUUAUUAUAGCGCACAAAGAAGAUCAAAACAUCAUCUUUAAAAUGAAGGUUUUGUUUCUUUGUGCUCUUCUUCUAAGCAUGGCAAUGCUCAACCAAGGUGUCAUGGGUCAUAUGAAUGUAAAAGAUGAAUCAUGUAAAAACGGUGGACAAAAAUUGCCUGGCUGUAAUGGAAAGAAACCUUACAUCAAGCCACAACCUUAUACCCGUGGAUGCUCAGCUAUAACUAAAUGUCGAGAUGGCAUGUGAUUCUAGUUGAAGAUUGAAGAAAGAUGAUUUCUAUGUCAACAACAUUGCAUCAAGGGUGUUCCACUGUUGAUUAUAUUAAUUCUUUGAAAUAUUUGGAUUGGCACAUGUUAUUUAUAUUUAUCUUAAUAAAUGGUUGAGUGUUAUUCGUAUAUAUA
rnacentral:lncRNA from 1 species